GACGUAGGGCGCGAGCGUUGUCCGGAUUUAUUGGGCGUAAAGAGCUCGUAGGCGGCUUGUCGCGUCGAAUGUGAAAACCCACGGCUCAACUGUGGGCUUGCAUUCGAUACGGGCAGGCUAGAGUUCGGUAGGGGAGACUGGAAUUCCUGGUGUAGCGGUGAAAUGCGCAGAUAUCAGGAGGAACACCGGUGGCGAAGGCGGGUCUCUGGAACGCAACUGACGCUGAGACGCGAAAGCGUGGGGAGCGAACAGG
rnacentral:rRNA from 1 species